GGGGUGCUCGAGUGGCGAACGGGUGAGUAACACGUGAGUAACCUGCCCUUGACUUUGGGAUAACUUCAGGAAACUGGGGCUAAUACCGGAUAGGAGCUCCUGCUGCAUGGUGGGGGUUGGAAAGUUUCGGCGGUUGGGGAUGGACUCGCGGCUUAUCAGCUUGUUGGUGGGGUAGUGGCUUACCAAGGCUUUGACGGGUAGCCGGCCUCGAGACGGGUGACCGGCCACAUUGGGACUGAGAUACGGCCCAG
rnacentral:rRNA from 1 species